rnacentral:ncRNA from 2 species
CAUUAUUACUUUUGGUACG